CCUACGGGUGGCAGCAGUGAGGAAUAUUGGUCAAUGGACGAGAGUCUGAACCAGCCAAGUAGCGUGAAGGAUGACUGCCCUAUGGGUUGUAAACUUCUUUUAUAUGGGAAUAAAAUGUUCCACGUGUGGGAUUUUGUAUGUACCAUAUGAAUAAGGAUCGGCUAACUCCGUGCCAGCAGCCGCGGUAAUACGGAGGAGCCGAGCGUUAUCCGGAUUUAUUGGGUUUAAAGGGAGCGUAGGUGGAUUGUUAAGUCAGUUGUGAAAGUUUGCGGCUCAACCGGAAAAUUGCAGUUGAAACUGGCAGUCUGGAGUACAGUAGAGGUGGGCGGAAUGUGUGGUGUAGCGGUGAAAUGCUUAGAUAUCACGAAGAACUCCGAUUGCGAAGGCAGCUCACUGGACUGCAACUGACACUGAGGCACGAAAGUGUGGGUAUCAAACAGGAUUAGAUACCCUAGUAGUC
rnacentral:rRNA from 1 species